rnacentral:rRNA from 1 species
GGAGCAGGGGCGUGUGGGUAGCAGAGGUCGAUAGAGCUCGAUCCCAAACCGCGCGGCGGUCGGUCGAGGGCCGGGGCCGCAGCAGGCUAGGCGGCCGCCCUCCGGGGAUGCUGCGGCGGGGUCCGGCCGGCGGGGAAGAGGAAGUGAGGAGGGCCUGGUCGGCGGGGAGGAGCUGAGGAGGGGCGGGCGGGGCUGCAGGUAGGAGCGGGACGUCGUCCUCCGCAGGCGUCCGGGCGGCCGGGCGGACGGGAGGCAAGGGGGGCGGGCCGUCGUCCUGCGCGGGCCGGAGGCGGGCCGGUCCUAUCGACUACCUUUUUCACUUCCCAGGCUUUCGUUAAACCCUACGACGCCGAGUAAGGUAAAUAUACCUACACACGCAUCUCCUCCACGCUCGGUUAUUGGCACGAGGUCCUGUGUGGUGAAACAGACUACAUCCGGUUCAAUUAAAAGAAUGAUUCAAAUUACUCGCGAGGCCCUCUUUGAUAAGAGUGGUUGUUAAUUCUUUGGCCACCCUACGUACAUCUUCACUAAUACGGUAUACCUUCUGUAACGAAGUUUUUCGAAGCCCGUAGCCUUCUCUAGGAAUAUGUUUCUGGUAACGACGAUGCCUACUCACCACCCGUAACCUCAACUUCCGUGCAGGCGUCCGAUGGUUCAUAGCCGUACGAGGUGAACGCCUCCUCCUGUUUUACCUCCUCCACAAACUACGAACAACACAGUGUUUGCUCGUACGCUCUCACGGUUAAGGGUGUAUAGUUCCAAGAUGCAGAGCUUAGUUAAAACAAGCAUACCACCUCCUCCUCCUUCACCCGUUCACUCGUACGUUUCUUACUCCGUAAACAAGCAUACCACCUGGAGAAACUAAGUUCCUUGUUCUCUCUACUCUGAGUUCAAAGUCGUUCUGUUCUCUAAGUACUUUACUACCGGUACCAUCUUCGUCUACCACCACGUGGACCCUCACUACAAGUAAAGAUACGAAGUGUCGAUAAGUUCCUAGUCUGUUUAGCACUACAAAAGAGACGGAAGUUCUGAGUGCUCGGAUCACGCUCCGACUAUACCUAUUUGUUUCGUACCCUCAAGUUGUUAUUCAUCUUGGAAAUACAAAGCUUACGAAAGUUGAACAUAGCAUCACUUGAUACAAGACUAACGAAAGUUGAACAUAGCAUGACAGGAUAUAAUAAGCGAAACUUGGGUACAUAAAGGAAACUUGAACGUAGGAUAAGUUGAUACAAUACCAAACUUGGUUUCAUACACGAAAGUUGAACAUAGGAACUUUGGACGAUGACAUAGAACAACAAUUGGAGGAUACACACAUACACGAACACGGUCUACCUAUUUUUUUGUUCUUCUACUCCUUAAACUCCGUCCUGACUAACGUAAACGAAACCUUUACCGCAGCAGUUCGUUUAGCAACGGCAUACGCAGUUCUUCUAAUGGGGAACAAUGACCGGAGCUUACCCACCUUCUCUUCCUCGCCCUAGGUUUUCGUAAGAUGCGAUACAAGUCUUACUCCUCCAGUCACAAAAUGGGUAACGUACUAGACAACCAACUCUUGAUACCGGAAGUCAGUUGAACGUUGUAUAGUAGGUUUCUUCGCAACCGCGAAAAAGAUACCUGAAACCCCUGUUGCGUCUGGUGACUGUUACACCGCCUAGCCAAACGUGUAUCAGCAAGCCAGUGGUUGUUUUUUAAGGUACUCCAAAACCUCACACAUCUGACGUACCGGCCACUGAUGUAAUCCGGUUACCUAGGUAGAAAGAGACUUGGAGUAGGUUAUGAAUCUUUUUGUUCCAAGACCGGAGUAAAGUUUUUACGAUAACCUCGGUAUCUACCUUGUGUGUAAUUUCACCAACACGGGUUCCUUAACCUCGGGGUUGUAUCCUUAUCCUUUCCCAUGUGUUGGCUUUUACAGUACCGUCACACACUAAAACUAUACUCCAAGUGAAAACAACAAGGACCUACCGGGCCUAGACAAGUACUGUGUGCACAUACCUCGCUACGAUAUCAAGCGAUACUCGUAAUAGGUGUUGGUGGGUGUCUAUUUAUGAUGGAACAGCUGAGGCCUAUAGGGUUGUCUCAACCUAUAGAUCGUGGUAUGUUUCCCGUUGCCAUAGUACAUGGACUAAAGGUUGUUGUGGGAGGGUACCCCUCCAUACUCUGUAAGUUGGUAGCUGUAAGAAGAAACGCGUUUAAAUAGCUUUCUAGUAAACCACAAGAGUUCUACUUUACCGCAUAAGAGGUUCCGUAUGGUGCCAUGUUUGGCCUCUGGGUUUUCUACUAGUAGUGACGUACGUACACAGAAGUGUUGAUGUAAGCACUAUCGUUCAAUGCACUACUCGUAAAACUGUUCAAACUGUUACUACGUAUGCACGUUGGAGGUGUCGGAAAAUGUCCACGGUUGCGAAAUGGUGGACUGCUACUACCAUGGUACCGGCGAUGUGCACUCCGAUAACGGCAGUCGGAACAUGGAACUCUAGUAGGUAGAUAAACAUCAAACGUUGAGGGAAAAUUGAACAUUAUAAUACGUUAUAUACUAUAAAAGUUGAGACCAAGAUUUAACAUUACCAUUCGUGAAAUACUAUAAACGUUCAGCGAAAAUAUAACAUUAUAAUGAUAUACAAUAAAGGUUUAAUUAUCAAAUACUCUAAACGUAGAACAAAAACACAAGUGUAAUGUGUACUUUGGUAGUCAUUAUUGGUUCACAAUGGUUAAGUUGUGAGUGAACUUAGAUUCCCGCAAUGUCUGUAAAAUUACCUGUUGAGUAUCUUAUUAG